AACCUUGUCUAUUUUCAUCUUUCUUGCCAGUUUGAAAAUCUUGUUGCAUGAUUUUGGCUGCAGAAAUAGACUAAAGUAAAUAGAGAAAACUGCUUCAUGGAACAGCCUUAGAAAAUGUGCUUAAAAUAUAGAUAGGUUUUAUGUAGGUCGGGGAAUUUCCAUUUUAAAUAUACUCAAAGGACCAAAAAGUAAAUUACACGGAAGGCACACACCAGGUACUUGGAAAGUAUGCUGUCUACACACAGGUUUAUGAAACACGUAUCAGAGGACUUCUCCAGGGGCAGAGUUGAAACUUUGCUUAAGGUGUUGGGACGAAAAGUGCUGCUAACUUGUUUUAAUGAUUGGUGCAACUCGAUGGAAAGAAGAAAAAAUACUCCAGAUGAUACAAAUUUUUCAGAACUGUGCUGGUUCGCGUGCUACCGCUGGCCACGUCACCAUGGAGCACUUUGA
rnacentral:lncRNA from 1 species